rnacentral:lncRNA from 1 species
AAACAGCUGUAUUACUGCAAAGCCCCACCCCAUCAUGGAACUGCAUCAUGGGAGUCAUCUCACUUUCAAUUAACCUUCUGCUUCCUACAUACUCUAGCAUAUAGCAAGAUCACUCCUACCAUUUUGCUGAGACAGGGUCUCCCUCUGUAGCCCAGCUUUCUGCCUCAGGCUUUCAGACCUUGAAGUCCAAAUUUGUAUCACCGAGUCCUGAAGGGGCAAAUUUCCAAAUUAAGCUUCUGCUUACUGUGUAGUUGCACAGACUUGUAUAUUUUGUUUGCAUUCUGUUGUGUUGAGGAUUGAACCUAGGGCUUCAGGUAUGCUGGGAGAGAGGCUACCAUGGAGCUACAUUUCCCAGCCUCAGAGACUUGCUUCUUGCAAGACCUUGUGCUUUUUUGUUGUUGUUUUUGUUUAAAGACAGGGUUUCUCUGUGGGGUAGUCCUGGCUGUCCUGGAACUGCUCUGUAGACCAGGCUGGCCUCAAACUCACUGAGAUCUGCCUGCUUCUGGGAUUUUCCAAGUGCUGGGGAUUAAAGGCCUGCACCACCAUUGCCCAGAGCUUGGGCUGGAGAGAAGGUUCAGGGAUUCCAGAAGACCUGAGUUCAAUUCCAGCACCCGGGCAACCAGGUCCUGGGAGAGAGCCCAGGCAGGCAACAGGGCAGAUGAUGCCAGAAGGACCUGAGAGCAUCCUAAAGCCCUGAGAAAAACUUGGAGUUUAGCUGUCCUGCAACUUCUGAGCCACAGACAGAACUGUGGGUUGUCACUUCAGGUGUGGGGUAUGGAGCAAAGUGCCACCUCCAGUCCCAAGCCAACAUAGAGGGUUUCUCUAUGUAGCCCUAGCUGUCCUGGAACUCACUCUGUAGAUAAGGCUGGACUCGAACUCUCCUGCCUCCGCCUCCCAAGUGCUGGGAUUAAAGGUAUGCGCUGCCUCCACUGCAGCCGCCACCACCACCACCACUUGGCCACGUGUUCAGUUCUUAUCUCUAUUUUACAGCGCUUCUACCAGCAAGAAUAAGCCAGGGCUCUUCAGGUCUCUUUGGCCUAAGCGGCAGAAGCAAGAUGACGAAAGGAACCUCAUCCUUUGGAAAGCGUCGCAAUAAGACGCGCACAUUUGCCGCCACUGUGGCUCCAAGGCCUACCACCUUCAGAAGCCCACCUGUGGCAAAUGCGGCUACCCUGCUAAGCGCAAGAGAAAGUAUAACUGGAGUGCCAAGGCUAAGAGAUGAAACACUACCGGGACUGGGCGGAUGAGGCACCUAAAAAUUGUCUAUCGAAGAUUCAGACAUGGAUUCCAUGAAGGGACAAUACCUAAACCCAAAAGGGCAGCUGUUGCAGCAUCCAGUUCAUCUUGAGGAUUUCAGUCAGUCAUAAAAAUAAAAUGUUAUGGUUUCAAAAAAAAAAAAAAAAGAGUAAGCCAG